GACGAACGCUGGCGGCGCGCCUAACACAUGCAAGUCGAACGGAGUUAAAUUUCUGAAGUUUUCGGAUGGACGAAGAUUUAACUUAGUGGCGAACGGGUGAGUAACGCGUGGGUAACCUGCCCUUUUAGAGGGGGACAACAGUUGGAAACGACUGCUAAUACCGCAUAAGACCACAGUACCGCAUGGUACAGUGAUCAAAGGAGCAAUCCGCUAAAAGAUGGGCCCGCGUCUCGAUUAGAUAGUUGGUGGGGUAACGGCCUACCAAGUCGACGAUCAGUAGCCGGACUGAGAGGUUGAUCGGGCCACAUUGGGACCUGAGACACGG
rnacentral:rRNA from 1 species